AUCAGUUGUUUACCAUUCUGAAAUUUAUUCUAUUAAUUUGUAAGUAAUUCAACUACAUAUUUUUUUUUUAUAUUUGAAACGAAUUUUUUCGUUUCCAUCUGUUCUUAAAAAGUAUUAUUUCCUUCAGAAACUUGUUUUUGUUUUUCUUUGUAGGUUUGGAUCAAUGUCAAAGUGUGAGAUAUUGCUACUACUAUUAUAAUUCCUAUUCCGGAUACAUAUACUAUAAAUGCAUCUACUAUUAUUAUUACUACUACUACGACUAUAGCAGCGGUUAUUCGUCAUCAGGAGCGGCAGCUGGAGGUGCGAUUGGAGGUGUUGUGGGGUUUCUCUUCCUCGUGUGCAUCUUGGUCAGUUGUGUUAAACUCUGCAAGAAGUCGAAUCACCACAUUAUCGCUGUCAGACCAACGUACCCAACCGUGUCUUACACACGUUCAUCUGGAAACGUGUAUGAUUACUAGAUUGACAGUCAUUCUACACCAACUUCUGCAUCUUUACCAAUCUUAGAAGCUUCCUCCCUUGUCAAAAAUUUGUCAGC